UGGUACUUGAAUCUGACUUUAAACCGGUUUAACACAAACAUACAAUUACAAUAAUCAAUACCAGGGUACAUGUAUCAUGCUGGAAAAUUACGAAUGUGUCAGACGAAUUAUUUUGUUUUUCAUAGAAGAUAAACAAAAUCAUCGAGCUUUGCAGAACGAUGAAUCAGAAUGACUGAAUGACACUAAGUUUUGCAAAAUGGAUAUAUCCCUAACUUCCAUGGCCUUCGACAUAUUUGAGUGGGAUCCUGAAACAACCUCUGACACAACAACUUAAUUUACAAGAACAACCCUGCGUAUAAGAACUACAAUACUUCUGACAAAAACAAACAAAAGCAACUCCAGAUUUAAGAACAACUCUGAUUACUAGAACAUGAACACCAACCCCAUCUUCAAGAACAACAACUUCAACCCCAGAACAUCAACACUUCCUGCAGGGACAACUACAAAAACAUCGGCUUCAAGAACAAAUUCAUCCUAAACACAAACAUCAGCAACAACAGCUACCCGAAUAAAACUACUCGAACUACAAGAACACCAGCAACACACUCUUUAAGAACACCAGCAUCAUCAUCUUCUUCUAGACUUGCAAAUGCAACAAACACCAAAGACAAAGUUGAAUGGCGAACUUCAAUGGAGAGGACAGAGUAAUGGCAAAAAGAGGAUCAUAUUUUAAAGAGAGGAGGAAGAGGGAUAUGUAAAGAGUGUUCUGAGGCCAGGAUAUCAGCAGUGCGUUCAGUCAGGCGAGUGUUUACAAAAUGCUCGCAAACGUUUUGUUUUGUAUCUCUGUUGCAACGCAGCGCAUAUACGUUAAGCGGGAAACCAAACAGCAAACGUUCGCCGCAAACAUCUUUACUGA